rnacentral:lncRNA from 1 species
CAGGAAGCCCAGUUACAAGACAAAGAACAAAAGUCCUGGGGGAACGUCACCAGCAGAGUCAUCUCCACACAUGCAAAGGUCCCUUCUGCCUUUUUUUUUUUCCCCUUUGAAAUUUCAAAUUCCAGUUUGUGGACAAAGUCCUGCCUAUCUGAGAAUAUAGAUCUCCGACCACUGACCAAACUCCAGUCCAAGCAGUCCCGAGGACUGCUCUUCCCCUUGCCCACAGAUGCCUCUGCUCAGUCCUUGGAUCUGCCAGGAUUGUGCUGAAAUUUUGCACUGGAGCACAGCACUGGUACUUGCACAAAGAGGAUUUUUCACUUAAUGUCAGCAGCUCCCUUUCUGGGAAGGACCAUCAGGAAUAACCAGGAGUGUGCAGAGUGCCUGAACAGCCUGUGUUGUCCCCAGUGUCCCAGUUGCCAGAGCACAGCAAGGAGUCCCUGUGAGUGCUGGGGCUGAGCACAGAGUUGGCUGGAGGGGGACAAGUUCUGGAG